AGGGUUUUUAAUUCUAAAUUUUUUGCGUAUACUAUCUGGGCUAACUUGUUAGCUAUGGUAAUAAACGGAUCGUGGAAUAAGCGUAGCGGACCCGGGGGCAGUACCCGGCGCCUCCACCAUUCCAUUUCCGGUAAACCUACUGGCUUUUGGGGGCGAACCAGGAUCGACGAGGGCGUAAAGGUUGUUUCCGUCGCUCGGUAUUGUACCACCGUUAUCGGGCUGUUUUUUAGUUGCAAAUGACAACUAUGCGGAAGUUGCUGUCGCUGCUUAAGUAGCGCCAACACUUCAAUUCAAGUCCUUAUCCGUCGCAGGAUAAGGCGGGGUUCGGCGGGCACCUGGCAACAGAAGCCCUCCACU
rnacentral:tmRNA from 1 species